rnacentral:rRNA from 1 species
UACGUAGGGUGCAAGCGUUGUCCGGAAUUAUUGGGCGUAAAGAGCUCGUAGGCGGUCUGUCGCGUCGGAUGUGAAAAUCAGGGCUCAACCCUGGACCUGCAUUCGAUACGGGCAGACUAGAGUUCGGUAGGGGAGACUGGAAUUCCUGGUGUAGCGGUGAAAUGCGCAGAUAUCAGGAGGAACACCGGUGGCGAAGGCGGUCUGCUGGGCAGUUGCUGACGCUGAUGCGCGACAGCGUGGGGAGCAAACAGG